rnacentral:rRNA from 1 species
AAAACAUGUCUUUUUGUGUUUAAUAUAAAGUCUAACCUGCCCACUGAUAAUUAAAUGGCCGCAGUACACUAACUGUGCAAAGGUAGCAUAAUAAUUAGUCUUUUAAUUGAAGGCUGGAAUGAAUGGUUGGACGAGAUAUAAGCUGUUUCAUUUAAACUUAAAUUAGAAUUUUAUUUUUCAGUAAAAAAGCUGAAAUAUUUUUAAAAGACGAGAAGACCCUAUAAAGCUUUAUUUUUAUAAAAAAAUAGAAAAAUAGAUUUUUUAUACUAUUUUUAAACUAAAAAUUUUAUUGGGGUGAUAGUAAAAUUUAUAGAACUUUUAAUUUUAACAACAUUGAUUUAUGGCUUAUUGAUCCAUUAUUAGUGAUUAAAAAUUCAAGUUACUUUAGGGAUAACAGCGUAAUUUUUUUGGAGAGUUCAUAUCGAUAAAAAAGAUUGCGACCUCGAUGUUGGAUUAAGGAAUAAUUUUAGGUGUAGCCGUCUAAAUGAUAAGUCUGUUCGACUUUUAAUUU